GCGUCCCGCACCAGGCUCCUUGCAGGGAGCCUGCUUCUCCGUCUGCCUGUGUGUGUGUCUGCCUCUCUGUCUUUCAUGAGUAAAUAAAUAAAAUCUUUAAAACAAAACCAAAAACCCACAACAGAAUGUACAGAUGAAGGACAGGGGAGGGAAAUAGGCUUGGUCCAUUCCUUUUUUUUUAUAUAUAAGAUUUUAUUUAUUUAUUGAAGGGACAAGUAUAUUUUAUGGGGUAAAGGGACAACUUAAGGAGAAUAAAUGGAGAAAAUACAAUUUUAAGGAAAGAAGUUCUGAUUCUGUAGCUCCUCUGAUUUAUUACCCUUUUUUUAUUGGCCGUAAAUUUUUUUUUUACGAUUUUAAUUAUUCAUGAGAGAGAGGCAGGGACACAGGCAGAGGGAGCAGCAGGCUCCAUGCAGGGAGCCCCAUUCAGACUCCAUCCCAGGACCCCGGGGUCAUGCCCUGGGCUGAAGGCAGACGCUCAACCACUGGGCCACCCAGGCGUCCCUGGCUGUAAAAAUCUAAUAUGAAAGGAAAAUUCUUUUUCGAGGGGUAACUUGUCGAAUGAUUAUUAUCAUCCAUUAAUUUACUGAGUGCUAUUAAUUUCUCCAGUCCACGGAUGGGGAAAAGAGGCACAAAUGCUAAGUAACUUGUCGAAAUUCACAACCAGUAUUAGGCAAGUGGACGGUCUGGGAUUCAAGAGAGCUGGGGAGAGAAGGUUCCUGAAUGCAAGAGCAGCCAAAAAGAGGAGGAGCUGCAAACAAGUUCACUUUCUCUUUAAAGGUGUCUGUGUGGGUGUUUGGAGGGAGGACUUUGAAAGUAAUGAUGUCCACCUGGGUUUCCCCACCUUCUUAACUGAGACUGUCACUUGAGUGGGCCUGCCAUCCCAACAGGAUCUACAGGACAGAGUGGCCUAUGAGUGCCACCUUCUGGAAUGAAGGAUAAAGCCACUGCAUUUUUUGCCAGUGACAGGUGAAAACCAGAAGACAUACGUAUCAUAUUUGUGGAUGGCAAUGAGGAGGACAGUGCCCUCAGCUGGCAGACUGAGAAUUCAAAUACCUCAAUAGAACAAACAUGGUUACCAGAGGGGAGAGGCGUGGGCAGUAUGGGUGAGGGAAGUCAGGAGUGCCGAGGAAGGCCACACGUAUCCCACCUGGGGAUUGGUGGGAAACAUACAGGAAGGAAGAUCAAAUUUAUGAGAAUGGUUAUCUCGGGAUCCCUGGGUGGCGCAGCGGUUUGGCGCCUGCCUUUGGCCCAGGGCGCGAUCCUGGAGACCCGGGAUCGAAUCCCACGUCGGGCUCCCGGUGCAUGGAGCCUGCUUCUCCUUCUGCCUAUGUCUCUGCCUCUCUCUCUCUCUCUCUCUCUCUCUCUCUCUGUGACUAUCAUAAAUAAAUAAAAAUUAAAAAAAAAAGAAUGGUUAUCUCAAAAUGAGAUGUUAAGAUUAGAGUGAAAGAGAGAAGAUAUGGAGUGGCACUUCUCUUGAGUGUCCUGUUUUGUCUAGUUUUGACUUUUGGAACUGUUAAAUAACAAAAAUAUAACAGUAAAUUUAAAAAAUUAAUUUUUUUGCCCAGCAUGGAGCCUCUGACCUGGAGAUCAAGCCCUGAGCUCAAAUCAAGAGUUGGAUGAUCAACUGAGUGAGCCACCUAAGUGACCCUCAACUGAGUAAAUUUUAAAGAACUAAUGGGCUUUAUUAAUCAA